AAAGUAGAAGAACAAUUAUCUCCAUAUCAUUUCUAGCUAAUAUAAUGUCAUCAUCAUAUAAGGACAGUAUGAGGAAAGAAGAAACUUGUAUUGCUUUGUAUUUAUCAUAGUGCCAGCAAAAUGGAUUUUGGGGGUGUGGAAGGUGACCUAUCAAAAUUAAAUGAAGAUAUAUGAGUUUCUACUACUUUGGGCCUGGAGAAAAAGUCUAAUAUUCCAGAAUGUAAAAAACAUAAUUAUUGACAAAGGAGUCAGUUCUCUCACUGCCAAACAGACACUUAGAAAGCAUAAUCCCAUUAAUAGCUGGCAAUGAUAAUGCUUUAAAAUCUUUAUUCUGCACCUCAGUCAUUAUGAGAAUUCUAGAGAUUUAACAACUAUCAUUACUUAAAUAUACUGCAUUGAGAUUACAAUAGCCUUACAACAUAACAGUUUGAACCCAACCUUUAUUGGUACAUCAAGGUUUGGCAGAGAGUAUUGUCUGUCUUUUAAUCAGGGUGGAGUUUCCUUGGUAUCUAAUUUGAAUCUUCAGAAAUUCUAGUUCUGUUUCUGGACUUUGCUGCUUCACAAAUCAAUGUGUCUAAGAUAGACGAGAAUCCAACAAUAACAAAAUAGAAUUAACAAAUUUUGCCACUUUCUGAAACGAUCCUUUCUAUCACUUCUAGUAAGCGCUCUUUCUCAUCCACCAAUUCCUCGCACCGAUUCUCCUCUAAGUUGUCGAUCCCAGCUGCCAUAACCAAAACCCACCAACGUGCUCCGAUCUAAACGAAGCCAAGACCGGGCCUAUCGUCGGCGACGCUUUUUGGAGGCCGAGUCGGCAAAUCAGGCAGCGCUGUCUUGAACCUCCCGCUGUUUUAUCUUGAAGUUUUCAUUGACAGACUUCAUAUGAGCAGUCUCGUGAACGCCUUCGUAAAGAACUUGAUGGAUGCUGGUUUGAUUAUAUCCUGGAUACUCUCAGAAAUAGCUCUUGAGGAAUCAUCCCAAUUUAAAGAUCCCUUUUUUGCGUUAGAGAUUGCUGUCUACCAACAAGAUACUGAUGGUGACUGUUUCUGCUUGGCAAAGGAUGGUAGAAGCUGUGAAGGCUGAAUUAGCAGCUCUAAUGUAUAAGAAAACCAAGACUUGUUAGAGUAUGUGGCGCUGGUGGACGCUUAACUUUUGGAGCAAUGGGUGAAGCUGAAGUCGUUAGUGCCCGAGGGUUAGUACAUUGCCAAAUUUGUAGUGACACAAUUGGUAAUUACAUUUGCACCUGGUAGAUCUUGAAUCCAUAGCCUCACCCUGCAUGUUGCUUGUAGAAGGGGAAGGGGUGCCAUUUGAACUAAAGCUCAUUGUGAAAAAUGUAGUGAAACAAAGAAAAUAUUCUCAAAGUGUAAAAGGAACAUUGUCAAGAUCUUAAUGCAAUUCCCCUUACACAAGAGGAGAUCUCAAACUUGGUUUUUAAGAAGAAGUCCAGUAUUGUAAAAGGACUUGGCAUGAGACCUUCCUCUUCUCUAGUAACCACCACCUUAUCUAAUUCCUCGGUGGAGAAUAUUCAACGGCUAGAAAAUGAGAUAAUUGAGCUCAAAGAGGCAAGAGCUAGGGACCAAAAGGAGCGAGCUAGGGACCAAGAGGUACGAGCUAAGCAAGAAGAGGUCCAAUAGAAUAUUCUUAACUUUUUGAGGAGCAAAGGUUAUGAUGACGCUCUUACCUAUGUGGGUGGUUCAACUUCAAGUUAAAACACUUUUUGAUUUCUUAUUGGUGGUUUUUUGGAGAUUUACUUUUGGCAUUACCUUGAAGACAUAUGAGGACAUCUUCCGUUAGUUCUAGUUAUAUUAUGCUACACUUUUUGUAUUAUUAUAAAACAUCUUGAGUUAUUGUAUAUGUUGCAAACAAUUAUUGUAUGGAAGGAGUUUGAAUUGGAUACUUGUUUUAUUUUUUACUUGUAGAAUGUAUGGAUCUCUUUUUAUAAA